UUGUUGGUGAGGUAAAGGCUUACCAAGGCUUCGAUCAGUAGCUGGUCUGAGAGGACGACCAGCCACACUGGGAUUGAGACACGGCCCAGACUCCUACGGGAGGCAGCAGUGGGGAAUUUUGGACAAUGGGGGAAACCCUGAUCCAGCCAUGCCGCGUGAGUGAAGAAGGCCUUCGGGUUGUAAAGCUCUUUCAGCCGGAACGAAACGGUUACGAUUAAUACCUGUAACUACUGACGGUACCGGAAGAAGAAGCACCGGCUAACUACGUGCCAGCAGCCGCGGUAAUACGUAGGGUGCGAGCGUUAAUCGGAAUUACUGGGCGUAAAGCGUGCGCAGGUGGUUUUGUAAGUCAGAUGUGAAAUCCCCGGGCUUAACCUGGGAACUGCGUUUGAAACUACAAGGCUAGAGUGUGGCAGAGGGGGGUGGAAUUCCGCGUGUAGCAGUGAAAUGCGUAGAGAUGUGGAGGAACACCGAUGGCGAAGGCAGCCCCCUGGGUCAACACUGACGCUCAGGCACGAAAGCAUGGGGAGCAAACAGGAUUAGAUACCCUGGUAGUCCAUGCCCUAAACGAUGUCAACUAGUUGUCGGGUCUUAACGGGCUUGGUAACGUAGCUAACGCGUGAAGUUGACCGCCUGGGGAGUACGAUCGCAAGAUUAAAACUCAAAGGAAUUGACGGGGACCCGCACAAGCGGUGGAUUAUGUGGAUUAAUUCGAUGCAACGCGAAAAACCUUACCUACCCUUGACAUGUAUUGGAGCCCGCAGAGAUGUGGGUGUGCCCGAAAGGGAACGAUAACACAGGUGCUGCAUGGCUGUCGUCAGCUCGUGUCGUGAGAUGUUGGGUUAAGUCCCGCAACGAGCGCAACCCUUGUCAUUAAUUGCCAUCAUUUAGUUGGGCACUUUAAUGAGACCGCCGG
rnacentral:rRNA from 1 species